rnacentral:rRNA from 1 species
GACGAACGCUGGCGGCGUGCUUAACACAUGCAAGUCGAACGGAAAGGCCCUGCUUUUGUGGGUUGCUCGAGUGGCGAACGGGUGAGUAACACGUGAGUAACCUGCCCUUGACUUUGGGAUAACUUCAGGAAACUGGGGCUCAUACCGGAUAGGAUCUCUUGCUGCAUGGUGGUGGUUGGAAAGUUUCGGCGGUUGGGGAUGGACUCGCGGCUUAUCAGCUUGUUGGUGGGGUAGUGGCUUACCAAGGCUUUGACGGGUAGCCGGCCUGAGAGGGUGACCGGCCACAUUGGGACUGAGAUACGGCCCAGACUCCUACGGGAGGCAGCAGUGGGGAAUAUUGCACAAUGGGCGGAAGCCUGAUGCAGCAACGCCGCGUGCGGGAUGACGGCCUUCGGGUUGUAAACCGCUUUCGCCUGUGACGAAGCGUGAGUGACGGUAAUGGGUAAAGAAGCACCAGCUAACUACGUG